UAUUCAUGGGACUGAGUUGUCCUGACUUCAAGAAAUCUGUUUUCUUAGUGUUUCCCUAACAUAUUUGCCUGCUGGACAGUUUCUCAUGAAUGGCUAACUCACCUGUCCACCAAGAAAUAGUGCUGGAAUGCUGAGCUAGCAUCACCUCCUCCUCCUGCAAAAGAUGAAAUGGGGCCCAGAGGAGGUGGGCGCCUUGCCAGAAGUCACACAGCACGCUACCGGCAGAGUUUAGAACGGCACUUAAAUUCCCCAGCUUUCAGCUCUGCAUUCUUUUGAGUGGUGCCAUUAAGCAUUUGUAUCCUCCUGAUUCUUGAGCCAGGCAGGACAUAAACGACCUUCUGCAUGACCUAGAAAGCAGGAGCCAGGUUAACAAAGAAUCCAGAUUAAUCCACAUCAAUCCUGAUUACAGGGGCAAUGGUUCGUCUACACAAGACCUUUUGUACUAUUUACCUAAGGUUCUCUCCUCUUCCUUAGAACUAGUCCCUUUGGUCCUUUGCUUGGCAAUCCUGGGGGCAGAUUUCUGAGACCUGUGUCCUGUCAAUACCACUGGAGUUCUUUAAACAAAGUCUCUUAUCCAGAUGUCCCCCAAAGCCCUUGGGUUAUCUGAAGUCAAGGAGGAUCUGUUCCUCUACACCUUUGGGUUCUGGGUAGGGGAACCAGGAAGUGCAGAGGUCGGCGAGUUGCUCGUGGAUCAGAGCUGUCCAGGGCUCCAGCAGCUGCUACUGGGGCAGGGUCUGUGGUGGCUCCCUGGAGAAGGGGGUGGUGUGCGCACCAUCCUGCUGGGCUUCUCAGUUCCUCCUUCUAGGGGUCUUACAGCACUGGUUUUAUACUGGGCAGGCACUGGACCACCUGAGCCCAGGUCAUUGUCCGCACUGAGCUUAGAGACCCAGAAGCGGGUGAACACAGGAAGUUGGACAGCCCAGUCCCAAGCUGGUCAUGGUAGAGGGGGAAAGAGGCCCAGAAAGCACGUGGGACUUGUUCAGGCUCGCACUGACAAGCCCGCCACGGUCACCAUCUCAGAGGUGGAGAACCUGGGGCUGUCGGAGCAGGAGAAAGCCCCCGCUUCCUGGCUCCGGGGCACCCCGAGAGGGGAAGCCACUUGCCCAAACUAGUGCCAGGCGUUUCAGCUCUCAGCCUGACAGUAGUUCCAUUCGCAGGGGAUGGCACAUCCCGUCCUCCUUCCCCUAAAGCUGGGGCUGCUGGCUGCACUGGGGACGAGGUCCAGAGCUAGCUCCCAGCCCUCAUCCCUCUUCGGGUGGGUGACUGCCUGGCUGGCUUCCUCCCCCGCUGGUGGGUCUGAAGCACAAUGGCCAGCCAAGCAGCAGAUGGGACCUGAUAUGAAACCUCCAGCCCCUUCCCCGCCCUGGGACAAGCAUCACCAGGUUACUAGGGGAGAGCCUCGAGGGGCAGGUGAGAGCCUCGAGGGAGGUGUGGCAGCUCCACAGGAGGACAGGGCGGGCUCUGCAAUGGGAUGGGGGCAGGCGGGGUGGGGAGCCACGUCCUGAGGGGAUUGCCUUUUCUCCAUGUGCGAUGGGCGUCCUGCUGACCCCGCCCUCUCUCUCACCCCUUGAAGACUAGGCAGAGUCUUCUUGGGGCUUCAAGAAGGUGUUUGAUCCAUGGGGUCCCCCUGAAGGGGACAUCUGGCAGGGGCAAGGCUUCAUGCCAGGGACCUGGGCCAGAAGGGACCACUUGGUGAGGAGAGAUUAAGACCUUGGAGAGGAGGGUGGGCAAGGGUGUGGACUCAGCCUGGGAUCCCAAGCUGGUGGGCUUCCCAGGUGAGGUCCUGACCCACCCCCAAGGGAGUCUGCAGGGCAGAGGUGACUGGGCACCGGCCCUGAGGGAAUCCUAGGCUGGGACACACCUGUCCCCCACACGGCGGGCCUGAGAGAGGGAGGUCCCCAGGGGCUCUCUGCCUUAAAGCUUCAAGAGUCUUUCACUUCAUGACUAAAUCACAGCCCCCAGCUGAAGCCACCAUCCCCAAAUGCACUGCAGCCAAGCAUGGGCUCUGUUGCAAAGAAGGCCCCUCUCUCUCUCACUGCGUGCUAUGGCAAGAGAAGGCCUCCACUAUCCCAGAGUGCAGCUGACACCAGGAGCCUCUCUAGCCCCUCAAGACAAGUGGAUAGAGCUUGCAUUACGUAAUUCCGGAAAGUGUGUAUCAAUUACUUAAGGAGUCCUCUGGUUUCUCCACUAUAUAUAGUGGUGACUUCUGUGACCACGGCUCUUCUUUUGGGACUGGUUUUGCACAGAACGUGGCUUUAUGCUAAACCUCACCUUGCAGGGAAACUCCCCUUGUCCUCUGUUUGAAUAGGAAAUCACAAUCUGCAAACCAGCACUGAAAUAUAGGAAGGGCUUCCAAGCCAAAAUAAAAGUUCCCCACGUGACU
ensembl:lncRNA